rnacentral:rRNA from 1 species
CGGACGGGUGAGUAAUGUCUGGGAAACUGCCUGAUGGAGGGGGAUAACUACUGGAAACGGUAGCUAAUACCGCAUAACGUCGCAAGACCAAAGAGGGGGACCUUCGGGCCUCUUGCCAUCGGAUGUGCCCAGAUGGGAUUAGCUAGUAGGUGGGGUAACGGCUCACCUAGGCGACGAUCCCUAGCUGGUCUGAGAGGAUGACCAGCCACACUGGAACUGAGACAGGUCCAG